GACAGAGGGUGCAAACGUUGUUCGGAAUUACUGGGCGUAAAGCGCACGUAGGCGGCGAUUCAAGUCAGAGGUGAAAGCCCGGGGCUCAACCCCGGAACUGCCUUUGAAACUAGAUUGCUAGAAUCUUGGAGAGGUCAGUGGAAUUCCGAGUGUAGAGGUGAAAUUCGUAGAUAUUCGGAAGAACACCAGUGGCGAAGGCGACUGACUGGACAAGUAUUGACGCUGAGGUGCGAAAGCGUGGGGAGCAAACAGG
rnacentral:rRNA from 1 species